AGACCAUCUAUGCUUAUUAGCUGACUAGCUCCAUGUUCUUAAUUGUCAUGCCCUAGAUAAAAAAAGGUGAAGCUAGAGAGUGGGCUGAAUCCCAUGUGGAAGCAGUUAAACCUUAAUUACACUAUUGGUUCAUCACAGCCUCAACCAACCAUUACAAAGUUCAUUCAGCACAAACUGGAAGAAAAAGAGGAGGAAAGAAGUGAAAACAUAGGACAAAAUGAUCUUCUUGCACGAUGCAGAAUAAUCUGCUACCUCUAAUACAAAAACAGCAUCACAGGCUACAUUCAUAGCAACUUUGAAUCUAGCUACCACAUUCAUUGGCAGGAGUCACCACAACAUUCAUAUCGGUCAGGUUGAAGAGAUACUUGGAGAUGAGGCAUGUUGAUUAAAAUUAUCUGCUUUGCUUGCAUUUGGGGACUGAACCAUAAUCUGGAUCAAUUUUCAGUGAGAUUAGUGGAAAAACAAGCCACAAAACCUCAAAUUUUCAAGCCAACAUUUAUCAAACACUUCUCAUUAUUGUGUUCUAUUUAUAGCUUCAUUAAACUAUACAUACCAAGUUUGAUUUGAAGUUAUUAAUUCCAGUGAGAACUUCGUGUAACAUGUGCUAAUCAUGCAGCUAAAAAAUUCAAAAGUUGUACCAACCUCAAAGGUGUACAUCUUCUGAAUUCUUUAACUGCAUGAUUAAAACAGGUUACACGAAUUUCUCCACCGGAAUCAAUAAAUUCAAACCAAACUAAAUCUGUAAAUUUCAACAAAACAUUUAAAUUUCAGUUAUUCCAAUAACAUAUAACAAUAAUUCUCGCAGCAAAGCGCGGGCACUCUUUAUAACUAUACUAAAGGCCACUUACAAAAAGACAAAUGAAAUGAAUAGUUCACUGAUCAUUUUGCCCUUACAUAUUUAUUAUAAUUACCUUUCUGUCCUAGCUU